rnacentral:lncRNA from 1 species
GGUAACUAGGACGAGGUGUCCUUGUAGACUUGUAUCCAUCUUUUGGUAAGUGUCUCGGCAUUCAGUAGUUGUACAUUCGUUAGAGUCCCUCCGCUGAAAGUCGAGUAUUCUUUUGUUGUGUAUAGACAAGCCUAAUGCAAAUUAUUAAGAUACAUGUUGUAGAUAAUGUAUAUACACUUGUUCAGUAUGCUAGUAUGAGGUGGCAAUGUUUAACAUUAUUUUGAUUCUAAGUUAUGAAUUAUGACUUAGCAGUUUAUGAUGGAAUAAUGAACAUGUCAGAUUAAUAGGCUUCCUUGGGCUUAAUGGACUAUGUCUAUUGGGCCCUUACACCGGUCAUGGCCCCGAAAUUUGGGUCGUGACACUUCACUUCUUUACACAUUCUUCUUUGAUUUUAUUUGGACAUUUUGAUGCUGACUGGGAAAGUUAUCCUACAAAUCAUUUCUCAACCACUAGUUAUUGUUUCUUUUUGAGUAAUUCUCUCACUUCUUGGUGAAGCAAGAAACAAGCUAUAACUACCUGUUUUAGCACGAGUCUAAACAUCAUGCUCUACAGAUGCUGUUUCAAAGUUACUUUGGCUUCGUCGAUUAUUGGAGGAUAGGGGAUUUGUCCAAUCUUCUACCAAUAUCCUUCCCUACGAUAACCACAAUGCUAUCCAUAUUGCUCACAACAAUUUGUUUCAUGAAUGCACCAUGCAUAUUGAGAUUAAUUAUCAUUUUGUGCAUCAUCAGAUGACUUAGGGGACUUUUCAUAAGACUUAUUUAAAUCAAAUUGUUUAUUGAUAUCUUUACCAAGACUCAUCUUUCUAGUCGAUUCCAAGAGUUAGUUUUCAAAUUCAAGUUGGCAUUUCCUGAAACCACCUUGAGUUUGAAGAAGAUGUUACGAUACUUAUACAAAUUAUCUAGUUAUAUUUAAGAUAAUUAUACAAAUUAAUUCUACCGAGUCGAAUUCAUGUCAAUUGUUAUAGUUAAAUUAAAAUUUAAAAUAAACAUAAUGUAUUAUAUUUAAUUAAUAAUUUUAUAUCAUUUUGAGUUUUGAUCAAUUUAAAAUUGGUUUGUGUUGGGUUAAUUCACAUUGAUUUGCAUAAUGGUCUUUUUAAUUUAUGAGUUGGUUAAUCGGUUUUAAAUUGCUGACUUUUACAGUCAAAUUGGAUUAAGUUGGAUUUAGAUUCAAAUGAGUUGGAUGUAGUUUUUUAAGUGAAGUUAGUCUUGUCAACUAUACACUCUGACAAGAUAGAUUGUUUUUAUACUAAUCCAAUUAUAUAAGAUCUUUAAUAAAGAACAAAGGACAAAUCAUGUUUAGAAAAAAAAAAAGAGACAAUCGAAAGCAUGUUAAGCUUAAGUAUUCCUAAGGGUUUUUUUUUUGUAUUUUUUCAUUUAAAAUAAUUGAAAAAAUUCUAUAAAAUAUUACAACUAGAGGUGUUAAUUAGUUGAGCUACCUACCCAUGCCUAUAGGCUAGUUGAUCAUAUUAUUUUAUAUUUUAGAUAUUUUUAGGGGAUUUAAAAAGGUGAAUGGAGGCAAUGGACCCCUUUUAUUUAAUUUUUUUGAAAUUUAGAGAUUCAUUGAAAUUUAGAGAUUCAUUGUUAAAAUAUGUUUUAAAUUAAUAUUUUGUGAUAUUUAUUUAAUUUUAAAUAUCACUAUACAAAAUAUUAUGUACUAUAUAAGCCAAACUCUGGGCCGAAAACACUUUUAUGUCUCAGCCCAAGUUUAAAUAUCACUAUGCAAAAUAUUACGUACAAUAAAAAAUAUUAAACUUUCUGUUAAUGCCUCACUUCUUCUCUUUCCUUUAAGGCCUUAACACCUCACUUCCUUUUUUUCCUUUAAUGCUGGUUUCUCAAUCCUCAAGAAAGCACAGAUAUUUAGUAAGCAUUUAUUUAUUUUAGUUAAUUUGUUCGUAUUAUUUCUUUGCGUCAUUUUAUUUUAGGGUAUUUAACAAUCUACUAUAUCAUUUUCUAUAUUAUUACUUUUCUUUUUCUCUUCUUGAGAGUUUUAAUUCCAUAUUCUAUCUAGGUUUUUUUUCUUUUUCUUUAAUAAGAAAUGUUAGAUUUAAAACUUAAAUUUCCAUGAUUGUUUCAUAUUUUUAGUUCUAAUCUAUGCUAUGGUAAUCUUUGUUUAAUUGUUUAUAAUUAUUUUCAUUUUUAUAAUACAUUAGGCAUGGAUAAGUAUUUUACAAGAACUAAACAUGCUCGAACCGAAUCUCAAAAUAAUCAAAACCAAGGGUCUAGUUGUGUUCCUAUAGAAGAAGCCAACCAAAGUGCCCCUAUCCAAGAAGAACCUAAUCAAAGUGUCCCAGAACAAGUUAUGGCUGAUCCUGGUCUAAUACCUUAUAUUUUUAGUAUUGCUCAUAAUGCUAAUGAGAGAGAACAUCCGAAAAGCAUAUUUGAUCAAGGGCUGAACUCAACCAACGCUAAGGAACGGCUGUAUCUAAAGGCUGCAACGAAAUUAUAACCUAGAAAUAGAAAUAAUGCGAACGGCAUUAUCAUACUCCCGAGGUACACCUUUAGAGUUCAGUUCACGCCAAAACACCACGUGAGGGUGAACUCAGCCAACGCCAAGGAACGACUAUGUUUUCAAAAUAAAAACAUGAUUUAUGCAUACAUGACUUUUUAACAGCCUUGGCGAACUCGGUUGGGAUAGCCCCAGGCCAAGGUUUCCCUGAUAACUGAGUAUGAUAAUGAUUUUUGGCACGAGCCAAGCUUUUCAGGAAAUCAUAAGCCUCGUUGUUUAUUUGGGUGAAAUGAAUCUAUUUUAUCUUAUUAAAAUGAGUUCAAAAUGCUGUGAAUCAUUUUUAUGCUAAUCUAUUUUAUCUGUCUUCAUUUACUCAGUUUUAGAUAUUUUAGAUGAUAUUUGUUUACUCACUGGGAUUAUAUAAUCUCACCACCCUCCUUUUCACCCCUUUCAGGCUCAGGAUAAUCGGUAGAUAACUCAUUUCGUUGAGGGCUACAGUUGGACUUGCAUCCUAAAAAACUGUAAGUUUACUGUUUUUUAUACUUUUGGUCGUUCGUGGGCCCUCGUGUCACUGUAAAUUAAAUCUUAUGCUUUGGUUAUUUGUAUUACAGUAUGUAUGAAUUUAUUUAGCUUUUACGCUA